rnacentral:rRNA from 1 species
UGGUGGCGGGCGUGCUAUACAUGCAGUCGAGCGGACAGAUGGGAGCUUGCUCCCUGAUGUUAGCGGCGGACGGGUGAGUAACACGUGGGUAACCUGCCUGUAAGACUGGGAUAACUCCGGGAAACCGGGGCUAAUACCGGAUGGUUGUCUGAACCGCAUGGUUCAGACAUAAAAGGUGGCUUCGGCUACCACUUACAGAUGGACCCGCGGCGCAUUAGCUAGUUGGUGAGGUAACGGCUCACCAAGGCGACGAUGCGUAGCCGACCUGAGAGGGUGAUCGGCCACACUG